ACUCAAAUGAAUAGACGGGCACCCGCACAAGCGGUGGAGCAUGCUGUUUAAUUCGAAGAUACGCGAAGAACCUUACCUAGACUUGACAUACCCGGCAAAGCUAUAGAGAUAUAGUGGAGGUUAUCCGGGAUACAGGUGGUGCAUGGUUGUCGUCAGCUCGUGUCGUGAGAUGUUCGGUUAAGUCCGUUAACGAGCGCAACCCUCAUCAUUAGUUACUAACAAUUCGGUUGAGGACUCUAAUGAUACUGCCGGUGAUAAACCGGAGGAAGGUGGGGAUGAUGUCAAAUCAUCAUGCCCCUUACGUCUAGGGCUACAGGCGUGCUACAAUGGCCAAUACAAAGAGAAGCAAUACCGUAAGGUGGAGCAAAUCUCCAAAGUUGGUCUCAGUUCGGAUUGAGGUCUGCAACUCGACCUCAUGAAGCUGGAAUCGCUAGUAAUCCUGAAUCAGAAUGUCAGGGUGAAUACGUUCCCGGGUGUUGUACACACCGCCCGU
rnacentral:rRNA from 1 species